rnacentral:rRNA from 1 species
UACAGAGGGGGCAAGCGUUGUUCGGAAUUACUGGGCGUAAAGGGCGCGUAGGCGGCCUGUUAAGUCGAACGUGAAAUCCCCGGGCUCAACCCGGGAACUGCGUCCGAUACUGGCAGGCUUGAAUCCGGGAGAGGGAUGCGGAAUUCCAGGUGUAGCGGUGAAAUGCGUAGAGAUCGGGAGGAAGGCCGGUGGCGAAGGCGGCGCUCUGGAACAUUUCUGACGCUGAGGCUCGAAAGCGUGGGGAGCAAACAGG